UCGGUAACUAACUUACAAGAGUCGGCCUGCCCUACGGAUGAAAAAUUAUAAUAAAAAUUAUUUUAUAUUUAUUUAUGAAGUGUCUAAAAAUUAUUACAAACAAACAAAUAAUGAAAACAUUAUGAGAUCAUAAUAAUAAAUAAUUUGUUUUGAAUUAUAACGAUGGUAACCUUCACUGUUUUUUGAUAAAUAGCAUUAUAUUUUUAAUAUUUAUUUUAGUUUCAAAUGUUUAGUUUUAUAAUAUAUAGUAAUCAUUUUUUUAUUAUUAAAUAAAUGUGCACAUAUAUAUAUAUAUAUAUAUAUAUAUAUAUAUAUAUAUAUAUGUUGAAGAAAAUGACAUGGAAGAAUUAUUGUCAAAGAAGAGUUAUUUUUAUGAACAUAAAUCCGCUACUAUGUUUUAUCCUAUAAAUUAUUCGGAUUGUGUAAUAAAUUUUCUACUAUAAAAAUAACAUUAAAACUCAUGUAACACAACUAAUGUACACAAUUAUUUUUUACAUAUGUGAAUAAUUUGAAAUCAUAUACCUCAAACCAAUCAGCUUCUCUCUAAAAGUAUUACCUUAAAAAUGACAACAUGUAAAGUUGCUUCACGUGUUACUCCCUACUUAUAUAUAAACACAAUAAACAUCACGUGUAUAUGAUAAAUUAAACUGAAUGUCAUUAGAAAAUAAGAUAAUUUACUUUCUCGUCUCAUAAAAGCAUGAAAUAAUUGUAACAUUUCGGUAUGCUCUUAGGGUUAUAAAUUCUUUGAGUUCUUCUACUUGAUUUAGUAAAUAAUGUUUAAAAGACUUUAAAUUUUAGGAAAUCAACAACAAUUUUGCACUUUCUCUUUUCAAAUCAUUGGCAAAAUAUAUUAUGUAAUUGUUAGGGAAAAAAUAUCAAACCACUACAAGAAAAAUGGGUUUUAAUAGCAGACCGAAAUAGCGUUUUUUACGAUUGUGCUAUGUUUGACAUACCCAUUAGUCUUAGAUAGCGUUUGUAUAUUUAGAAACGCUAUGAUAAAGUGGUAUAUUUGGAAACGCUAUGAUAACAUAUGGUUUUUUAUAUGUAACACUCGUGUUUAAUAGCAAAACAUGAUUAAAAAUGCUAUGUUUGGUUUUUGAAUCCCUAAACCCUAAAACAAGUUUUUAAGCCCUAAACUCUAAAUACAAACUUUAAACUCUAUUUUAACAUCAAAUCAUAAAUUUAACUUCAAAUGUUAGAUAUAAAUUCAAAAAUUAAUCUUUUUCCAAAAAUUUAUCUCAAAUCUUAAAAUCAAUAUCCCAAACCAUUAAGUUUUAAACCAUAUACUCAUACAUUUAUUCUAAACUCUACAAGUAAUAAAAAAAAUCUCAACACUAAACCUUAAAUCAUAAACAUAAAUCUUAACUUUCAAACAGUAAAAAUUUUAAAUCACCAACUUCUAAAUCAUAAACAUAUAAACUCUAAAGCAUAUAACAAAAUAAUAAAUUCAAAAUCAAAAAUAUAACUCUUAAGUUUGUAUAUAAAAAAUACUUAACAUAACUCUAAUUAUUCAAACCCUAUCAUGAAAAUUUUAAAAAUCAUAAAUCCACAAAAUUCAAAUCUAAUUUACAUAAUCUUUAAAUUUAGGAAAAUUUUAAAAGAAUUAAAAGGAAAUGUAAAACAAUUUUUUUUGCCCUUUUUUUAUGGCCAUUGAUUGAGUAUAGUCUAAAGGUUAAAAUUAUUUUUUUAUCAAUUUUCAACCUUCUCUUUUAUUGGUUGACUUUUUUUUUCGAGGAUCGCAAUUUUUAGCCAUUGAUGAAAUAUAAUCAAAUGGCCACAAUUCAAUCUCUCUCUUUCUCAUUUAUCUUCUCCUUUACGAAACAGAUCAAGUCUUUCCAGAUCCUCUCUACGACGUUUUCUCCUUCUUCACCACUCACAACGAUUCCGACUUCUCCUCCGCCACGGCUACUCCCUCCACGCUUAUCAAGCCUUGCUCUUACUCCUCCUCUUCUACCUGCGGCGAUGAAUCUCACCCUUCCGGCGACGACAUCAACAAGCGAAUCGAUUAAAUGAUCCAAUCGAGGUCAGACCUCAUCCUCUUUAAGGGAAAGUCAAAUCAGACGGUUCUUGAGGAGGAUAACGAUAUAUGACAAUUGUGGGCUGAGCCGAGGACGGUGGAUUGAAGAUCCAGUAGCCGUAGCAGAGCAGCGCCUGAGGUAAAGGACAAUCCCGAGCUUCUCUCCGCUGACACGGAGAAGACAGAGGAAGAGGAAGACAUUGUUGGCAGAUCCGAGCUCUCUCCACUGCGACUCCAGUCACGCCUCCGACGCUUCCGCUGCUCACCUCGCCAGCUUUGACGGAGAAGACAAACAGGCGGCUGAGAAAAUUAGAUCUAGGUUUUUUUUUUUUAAUUUGGGUUUAGGCUUUUUAAUUUUUUUUUGGUGUAGUCUUCUGUAAUACAAUUUUAUAAUUUAUAAAUAAAUUUUGAUUUAUAAAUAAAAUUUAAUUAUAAGUUGCAAUUUCGAUUUAUAUUUUAAUUUUUUAAUUUUUUAUUUUAACUGCUAUAGUAGAAUUAACUAAAACAAACAGAAAAUGCUAUUUAUAAAAUUAGUAUUAGCAGUAAAAAGACGCUAUUAAAUAAUAUUUAAUUGCAGAAAUAAAAGCGCUAUCGUAGCGGAAGAAAAGAUGGCACAACGAAAUACCGCUAUUUAAUGUCCUCGACCUAUUAUGACGGGCGAUGAUACAGCGCUUAACAAACCGCUAUCCUAUCGUUAGAUAGCAUUAUUCGUCCGCUAUAAAAACGCGUUUUUCUUGUAGUGAACUAUUUUGCGGAGAUUAUGUAAUUUCACUAUAUUAUCAUCUGCUGACUCAAAACGAUAUUAAAAAUUUGUUUGAAUUGAAAAUUAAAUACUAUUGAGAGAAAAUGAUGGCUAAAUGUCUUAGUAGAUUUGAUCUUAGUAGUAAACAAAAUUAAAAAUUAAUGUCAAAUUUAGUUUUAAAAGGUUUUGUAAACUUUGUUUUAAAAGGUUUUGUCUAAGUUUGUUUUUUUUGCCAAAAAUAAAGGGUUUUCUCUAAGUUUAUGGGGUUAGCUUUGUUUUUGGAAACUGUUUCCUGUAUGAGUAAGUUGUAGUUGUUAUUUCAAAAGGUAAAAUCAUUUGCUUCACAGUGGAAUGUUGGUCGGAAGCUUGUCUUGUGGGAUAGUUUGUUAAAGGGUGAGGUCUUGGGUUCGAAGAACGUCAAGCGCACCAAUAACCUACAUGGGGAAGUCAGUGAGGGCUCACAUGUGAGGAGUAAGGGGUGGUGCCCUGCAGAGCCAGAUUGAGGUUUAGGGUUUAAAUUUACAUAUUUGAUAGAUAUUUACAAAUGCUGAGACUAAUUUCUGUUUAUACAUUAAUUUUGCAGUUAAAAUUGUUUUCUUCGUGUUACAAAAAAAAAAAAUUGUGAAUUUUAGCGAAAACAUAUUUUCAUUGAUGCAUAUCAAAACCAAUUGAAGUGAUGAGAGUAAGAUAUUUACUUGUAAACAUAAUUUCUUCAAGCAAGUUCCUGGUAUUCAUAAUCAUAAGAGAUUUCUAAAUCCAUUUAAGUUAAUAAAAGGUAAAAAUAGUGGAGAACAUACUACACAUAUAUAUUCCAUAACUUAUUUCCUUUGAGUGUGUUCUCAUCUAUAUUUUGACCAUAAUAUUUUAAAAAAUUUCUGGACUUGCUAUACCAUAUUGAACUCUAACAUUUACUCGUUAAUGACAAAAAAACUGAAAUGUCAGCAUUUAAUCUUAUUUAUUAGUACGAAACUGAAGAAAGGACAUUGACUUUCAUUAAAUACUUUCUCUACAGAAAUCAUAUCACUUGUUCAGUUUUAUUCUUUAAUCAGCUUCUCCUUAUAUCAAUGGGUGGAUCAUAUCAAUUGAUCAGUUUUAUUCUUUAAUCAGCUUCUCCUUAUAUCAGUGGGUGCUUCCAAGCUAGCCAGAGUCAACGGCUGCAUGGAAUAAUAGCCAUCACAUUCACCAAGGUAGGUUAUGUACAGAGAAUUUUUACUAAUCGGAGUAGGCGUAGAUGAAUUUAUAAGAUUGCAGUGUAUCUACUUUGAUACCUUACCCUCUGCUCUUCAAGGCAAUCUCAAACAAAAUUGCUCAGAAAGACAUGGACUUGAUCACUGCUUAUUACCAACAACUUAGGGAGAAGAAGAUAUCUCGAGAGGGAUUCUGGAAGAAGCUGAGGAUGAUUGUUGGAAAUGAUCAUCUUCUGAAAACCACACACUGCUAUGAAAAUGGAACCAGUCACAGGUGGCUGUUAAAGAUGGGGAUAGACUAAAACUAUUUCUAGGGUUGGUCCGGGCGGUAAAUUUACACUAAAACUAUUUUAUAUUAAAAUAUAUUAAAACAUUUGAAAAUUUAUUUUAAACUGAGAUAAUAAGUGUAAUCUUUUCCAUUUUAAGUUUAUAUUGUAAAUCAAAUUUUGUUGGUCUGAGUUGAUAAAGACCACUAACAUUUUUUUUUGUUAGAGAACACAAAAUUAUUAAAUCAGAAAAUUAAGGAAAAUGUAAUGAUUUAUUUUUUCUAUUUGAUUUCAAUUUCAGCUUGAUAUAGUUAAGAAAAUCUAAAGUAAUAAUGAUUAAUAUCUUUUUA